UACGGAGGGUGCGAGCGUUGUCCGGAAUCACUGGGCGUAAAGAGCUCGUAGGCGGCUUGUCGCGUCGGAUGUGAAAGCCCGGGGCUUAACUCCGGGUCUGCAUUCGAUACGGGCAGGCUAGAGUUCGGUAGGGGAGAUCGGAAUUCCUGGUGUAGCGGUGAAAUGCGCAGAUAUCAGGAGGAACACCGGUGGCGAAGGCGGAUCUCUGGGCCGAUACUGACGCUGAGGAGCGAAAGCGUGGGGAGCGAACAGG
rnacentral:rRNA from 1 species